CCGACAGCAGCUCGCUGACCAUGUCUGCCCUUUUCCCGCUCAUCCCCCAGCUCAGCCGGGUGCUCCCUGGCUCUCUGCCACUGGAGCUGCGUGUCCGAGUAAGCAACGAGCCGGUGGUGACUGUGAGGGAUGGAAGAGCCACCGUCACCCUCAAGGCCACAAUCGACUUCAUCAGUCCUGCCCUGCAGAGCCCCCAGGGGCUCCUGUUCUCCCUCGAUGUGGUGAGUGAGCUCCCAGGGGAU
rnacentral:lncRNA from 1 species